UUGCGGUUAAAAAGCUCGUAGUUGGAUUUCUGUUGGAGACCGCCGGUCCGUUCUUUGAACGUGUAUCUGGUUCGACUCCGACAUCUUUGUGGAGUGCGUAGCUGUGCUUGAUUGCAUGGUGCGAAAUUCACAACAUUUACUUUGAGGAAAUUAGAGUGUUCACGGCAGGCAUACGCCUUGUAUAUAUUAGCAUGGAAUAAUACUUUAGGACCUUUAGUUCUAUUUUAUUGGUUUCCUAGAACUGUAGUAAUGUUAAAUAGGGAUAGUUGGGGGCGUUUGUAUUAACGCGUCAGAGGUGGAAUUCUUGGAUUGCGUUACCGACAACCUAAUGCGAAAGCAUUUGCCAAGGAUGUUUUCAUUGAUCAAGAACGAAAGUAUGGGGAUCGAAGAUGAUUAGAUACCGUCGUAGUCUAUACCAUAAACUAUGCCUACUAGAGAUUGGAGGUUGUUUUUUCUACGACUCCUUCAGCAUCUUAUGAGAAAUCAAAGUCUUUGGGUUCCGGGGGGAGUAUGGUCGCAAGGCUGAAACUUAAAGGAAUUGAGG
rnacentral:rRNA from 1 species